rnacentral:snRNA from 1 species
AUCAGCCACCGCGUGUGACUGAGA